GCGACAUGAUCAUUACCUCACGGUAGCUUUCAGCACCGUUCGGGGGCCGGCAAUGGUAGUUCAAUCCAGGGCUGUUCCUCGAUGUCGCAGAACAAAUUGCCCCACCGGAAGUUUCUUUCGGAGGCGUGGCAAUGAACGGUAUAUUCCUUAACCUUCGUUGUACCUACGUCCCCUUGGGCGAUGAUCACGGAGAUAAACCAUACUGCUCACAUUU
rnacentral:snoRNA from 1 species